UACAGAGGUCUCAAGCGUUGUUCGGAUUCAUUGGGCGUAAAGGGUGCGUAGGUGGUAGCGCAAGUCUGGUGUGAAAUCUCGGAGCUUAACUCCGAAAUUGCAUCGGAUACUGCGUUACUCGAGGACUGUAGAGGAGAUCGGAAUUCACGGUGUAGCAGUGAAAUGCGUAGAUAUCGUGAGGAAGACCAGUUGCGAAGGCGGAUCUCUGGGCAGUUCCUGACACUGAGGCAUGAAGGCCAGGGGAGCAAACGGG
rnacentral:rRNA from 1 species